rnacentral:rRNA from 1 species
AUUGAACGCUGGCGGAAUGCUUUACACAUGCAAGUCGAACGGCAGCACGGACUUCGGUCUGGUGGCGAGUGGCGAACGGGUGAGUAAUGUAUCGGAACGUGCCCAGUCGUGGGGGAUAACGUAGUGAAAAUUACGCUAAUACCGCAUACGAUCUACGGAUGAAAGCGGGGGAUGGCAAGACCUCGCGCGAUUGGAGCGGCUGAAAUCAGAUUAGGUAGUUGGUGGGGUAAAGGCCCACCAAGCCAACGAUCUGUAGCUGGUCUGAGAGGACGACCAGCCACACUGGAGCUGAGACACGGUCCAGACUCCUACGGGAGGCAGCAGUGGGGAAUUUUGGACAAUGGGCGAAAGCCUGAUCCAGCCAUUCCGCGUGCAGGAUGAAGGCCCUCGGGUUGUAAACUGCUUUUGUACAGAACGAAAAGGUUUCUACUAAUACUAGGAGCUCAUGACGGUACUGUAAGAAUAAGCACCGGCUAACUACGUGCCAGCCGCCGCCGUAA